CCUGGUUGAUCCUGCCAGUAGUCAUAUGCUUGUCUCAAAGAUUAAGCCAUGCAAGUCUAAGUACGAGCUCUCGUACAGUGAAACUGCGAAUGGCUCAUUAAAUCAGUUAUGGUUCAUUUGAUCGUACAGUUUACUUGGAUAACUGUGGUAAUUCUAGAGCUAAUACAUGCGAGAAGCGCCGACCUCGCGGGAGGCGUGCAUUUAUCAGACCAAAAACCGGCCGCGUCUUCGGGCGCGUUCGCCUUGGUGACUCUGGAUAACUUUGCGGAUCGCACGGUCUAGCACCGGCGACGGAUCAUUCAAGUGUCUGCCCUAUCAACUUUCGUCGGUACGGUAUUUGCCUACCGAGGUUCUUACGGGUGACGGGGAAUCAGGGUUCGAUUCCGGAGAGGGAUCCUGAGAAACGGCUACCACAUCCAAGGAAGGCAGCAGGCGCGCAAAUUACCCAUUCCCGACGCGGGGAGGUAGUGACGAAAAAUAACAAUGCAGGACUCGUUCGAGGCCCUGUAAUUGGAAUGAGUACACUUUAAAAGCUUUAACGAGUAUCCAUUGGAGGGCAAGUCUGGUGCCAGCAGCCGCGGUAAUUCCAGCUCCAAAAGUAUAUAUUUAAGUUGUUGCGGUUAAAAAGCUCGUAGUUGGAUUUUGGGCGCAGGCGGCCGGUCCGUCGCAAGGCGUGUACUGGACGUCCUGGCCUUCCCUCCGGUUCUCCGCCGGUGCUCUUGACUGAGUGUCGGCGGCGGCCGGAACGUUUACUUUGAAAAAAUUAGAGUGUUCAAAGCAGGCUCUCGAGCCUGGAUAAUGGUGCAUGGAAUAAUGGAAUAGGACCUCGGUUCUAUUUUGUUGGUUUUCGGAGCGCGAGGUAAUGAUUAAGAGGGACAGACGGGGGCAUUCGUACUGUGCCGUUAGAGGUGAAAUUCUUGGAUCGGCGCAAGACGAACGACUGCGAAAGCAUUUGCCAAGAAUGUUUUCUUUAAUCAAGAGCGAAAGUCAGAGGUUCGAAGACGAUCAGAUACCGUCCUAGUUCUGACUAUAAACGAUGCCAACUAGCGAUCGGGGGGCGUUACAUUGACGACCC
rnacentral:rRNA from 1 species